GCUCUUGUGUUUCAUGUCCCACAAGUUGGUUAGAGCAUGGUGCUAAUAAUGCCAAGGUUGCAGGUUCGAUUCCUGUCGGGGACA